UACGUAGGGGGCUAGCGUUGUCCGGAAUCAUUGGGCGUAAAGCGCGUGUAGGCGGGCUAUUAAGUCAGUGGUGAAAUCUCAGGGCUCAACCCUGAAACUGCCAUUGAUACUAUUAGUCUUGAAUAUCGUUGAGGUUGGCGGAAUAUAUCAUGUAGCGGUGAAAUGCAUAGAUAUGAUAUAGAACACCGAUUGCGAAGGCAGCUAACUAAGCGAUGAUUGACGCUGAGGCACGAAAGCGUGGGGAUCAAACAGG
rnacentral:rRNA from 1 species